rnacentral:rRNA from 1 species
UACGUAGGGGGCAAGCGUUGUCCGGAUUUAUUGGGCGUAAAGCGCGCGUAGGCGGCGCGGUAUGUCGUGCGUGAAAUCUCCCGGCUUAACUGGGAGGGCCGUGCGAAACUGCCGGGCUUGAGGUCAGAAGGGGAAAGUGGAAUUCCGGGUGUAGUGGUGGAAUACGUAGGAUAUCCGGAGGAACACCAGCGGCGAAGGCGGCUUCUGGUCGUGAUACUGACGCUGGAGGC